rnacentral:rRNA from 1 species
GAUGAACGCUGGCGGCGUGCCUAAUACAUGCAAGUCGAGCGAACGGACGAGAAGCUUGCUUCUCUGAUGUUAGCGGCGGACGGGUGAGUAACACGUGGAUAACCUACCUAUAAGACUGGGAUAACUUCGGGAAACCGUAGCUAAUACCGGAUAAUAUUUUGAACCGCAUGGUUCAAAAGUGAAAGACGGUCUUGCUGUCACUUAUAGAUGGAUCCGCGAUGCAUUAGCUAGUUGGUAAGGUAACGGCUUACCAAGGCAACGAUGCAUAGCCGACCUGAGAGGGUGAUCGGCCACACUGGAACUGAGACACGGCCCAGACCCCUACGGGAGGCAGCAGUAGGGAAUCUUCCGCAAAGGGCGAAAUCCUGACGGAGCAACGCCGCGUGAGUGAUGAAGGUCUUCGGAUCGUAAACCUCUGUUAUUAGGGAAGAACAUAUGUGUAAGUAACUGUGCACAUCUUGACGGUACCUAAUCAGAAAGCCACGGCUAACUACGUG